GCCUUCGUGGUGUAGUGGUCAGCACACUCGACGCGUAUUCGAGUGGUCCGUGGUUCGAGUCCUGGCGAGGGCA
rfam:Stegodyphus mimosarum contig675, whole genome shotgun sequence.